rnacentral:misc_RNA from 1 species
GGUUUGUGGAGCUUUCAGGGCAACAUUUGUUGCUAUUGCUAUUGAUUCUGGCAAGUCUGAUGUUGCUGGAAGUGCUUUCUGGUAUGUUCAUACUGGUAAGGCUGAAAAAGCUCUUGCCUUGUAAGUUGAGCUUCCCGGUAUCUACUGCUUAUAGGGAAUGCGUGCUAAUGUGCUACUUAGGGCUUUCUAGAUUGGGCUGAAUAAUAAUGUGGUUUGUGAUCA